rnacentral:rRNA from 1 species
UACGUAGGGAGCAAGCGUUGUUCGGAUUUACUGGGCGUAAAGGGCGCGUAGGCGGCAAUUCAAGUCAUCUGUGAAAUCUCCGGGCUUAACUCGGAACGGUCAGAUGAUACUGCUUUGCUAGAGUGCGGAAGGGGCAAUCGGAAUUCUCGGUGUAGCGGUGAAAUGCGUAGAUAUCGAGAGGAACACCUGAGGUGAAGACGGGUUGCUGGGCCGACACUGACGCUGACAGCGCGAAAGCCAGGGGAGCGAACGGG